CAGCCCCUACCUUUUGUCUCAUUCUUUUUUCCAGCUCUUUUGGCCUUUAGAUUGUUUGCUCUUGGCCCUGACACUUAUUAAACAAUGAGAAAAUUGGAUGACCAGAACACAAGUGACACUGAGAGGAUAAUGUGAUUGUUUGUCCUACAUGUCAGGCACUUGUAUAUUCCAGCUUGCAGAGGAUUGAUGCAAAAGUUUACUACCUUUGAUCAAUUUAACUUGGCCGCCUGUUUGCUCAUGGCUUUUUGGAAUAGGACCCUGGAAGAAUAACCACAAUUCAAGAGGGGGCUGCUGCCUGCUACAGAUACAGAAAUCUAGAUGGAAUUUCAAAGAUAAGAGAUGGUUUUCUCAGGUUUUGGAAGUAAUAGAGUACUUGGUCACUAACUCCUCACCUGAAGGACGGUUGUAUGCUUCAACUUGGAAAGCUCUACGUUGAGGUUCUUCAGCUCUCUUAAUUCCCAGAUUCUCUUUCCCAGAAGAAAUGGACCCUGGUUGUGAGAGGCAUCCAAAUCAAUAAUGUGACAACGAUAACAUUGAAAGUCUGCUGGAGAAGAAUCGCUAAUUCUUAUCAGAAGUGGUUUUUUUGUUUUGUUUUUUAUCCCUUAUAAAACAGACCAGACCA
rnacentral:lncRNA from 1 species